rnacentral:rRNA from 1 species
CCUCGAUGUAUUAAAUGCGCUCGGUGACGCGAGUCGCCGAGGGCUCUUAAGCGGACUGGCCAUGUUUAACGGCAGGAAGUGCGAGGCAAUAACAGGUCUGUGAUGCCCUUAGAUGUUCUGGGCCGCACGCGCGCUACACUGACCGGGGCAGAGAGUGUGUUGGCCAUGGCCGAGAGGCGAUGGGAAUCAUGAAACCCGGUCGUGCUGGGGAUAGACCAUUGCAAUUGUUGGUCUUCAACGAGGAAUUCCUAGUAAGCGCGAGUCAUCAGCUUGCGUUGAUUACGUCCCUGCCCUUUGUACACACCGCCCGUCGUUACUACCGAUUGAAUGCUGUGGUGAGGCCUGUGGUGAGGUUCCGAGUCCGUGAGGAGGAGGGGGCUUGAAACUGGUCAAACCUGGGCAUUUAGAGGAAGUACAAGUCG